UGCUAGAGAAAGUANAGUGGCACACGGGUGAGUAACGCGUGGGUAAUCUGCCUCCGAAUCGGGGAGAGCAUUGCGAAAGCGAUGCUAAUACCGGAUAAAAUCUGGUUGGCUUAGGUGAACCGGAUCAAAGGUGGUCUCUUUAUAAAAGCUACCGUUUGGAGAUGAGCUCGCGUACCAUUAGCUAGUUGGUGAGGUAAAGGCUCACCAAGGCGACGAUUGUUAGCUGGUCUGAGAGGAUGAUCAGCCACACCGGAACUGGAACACGGUCCGGACUCCUACGGGAGGCAGCAGUGAGGAAUUUUGCGCAAUGGGGGAAACCCUGGCGCAGCAACGCCGCGUGAGUGAUGAAGGCUUUCGGGUCGUAAAGCUCUGUCAGGUGGGAAGAACCCACCAAGUGUUAAGACCACUUGGUGCUGACGGUACCACCGAAGGAAGCACCGGCUAACUCCGUGCCAGCAGCCGCGGUAAUACGGGGGGUGCGAGCGUUAUUCGGAAUCAUUGGGCGUAAAGGGCGCGCAGGCGGUUUUGUAAGUCAGAUGUGAAAUCCCGGGGCUUAACCCCGGAAGUAGCAUAUGAAACUAUGAGACUAGAGUAUGGGAGAGGGAAGCGGAAU
rnacentral:rRNA from 1 species